rnacentral:tRNA from 1 species
UUUUUGUAUUAUAGUGAUUUUGAAAGUCUCUUCGGGCUAGACCUAGCCACCUAGUG